rnacentral:ncRNA from 1 species
CCGUCACAACGGCUUCCUGGCGUGGCGGAUUACACCUAACGGAGCA